GGGGGUGAAUUGGGCUCGACUUACGUAUGUUGGGUAAAGGCAGCAUGCCGCGGACGCAGGGUGGGCCGCGUUAUCAAUCCUUGCACAAAACAAACGCAAAACCAACACAGGUUAACCGCCUUGCGGCGCCACAGUCAGCGAUGGCAGUAAUGCCGUCAAUGACCAUGGCACCCAUGGUGGGCGUCCUAGCCUUCGGGCUCCAAUAAGUCCGAAGCCUCUCUUCAUCCGUGCCUAGGGGAUAAAGAGAGCACUAUCUAGGCUGGCUUCGGUGAAUUAGCCUUUGGGGCCGGAGUAAGAUUCAAAAGGCUGCUGCGCGCGGUAUCCCGUUUACCGGAGCCCGCGUGAGUAAGUUUAAAAGGUAAACUGAGCAUGGAGCGGCUUUUACUUGUCUGCGUAUGGACCGGGGUUCGAAACCCCGCACCUCCACCA
rnacentral:tmRNA from 1 species